ACUCCUACGGGAGGCAGCAGUGGGGAAUAUUGCACAAUGGGCGCAAGCCUGAUGCAGCAACGCCGCGUGAGCGAAGAAGGUCUUCGGAUCGUAAAGCUCUUUUCUUAGGGAAGAAAACUGACGGUACCUAAGGAAUAAGCACCGGCUAAAUACGUGCCAGCAGCCGCGGUAAUACGUAUGGUGCAAGCGUUAUCCGGAAUCACUGGGCGUAAAGGGGUGCGUAGGCGGUUUUGCAAGUCAGAAGUGAAAGGCUACGGCUCAACCGUAGUAAGCUUUUGAAACUGCAAGACUAGAGUGCAGGAGAGGAAAGUGGAAUUCCUAGUGUAGAGGUGAAAUUCGUAGAUAUUAGGAGGAACACCAGUGGCGAAGGCGACUUUCUGGACUGUAACUGACGCUGAUGCACGAAAGCGUGGGGAGCGAACAGGAUUAGAUACCCUGGUGGCACAGAG
rnacentral:rRNA from 1 species